CUAGUAAUGGCAGGUCAGCAUACUGCCGUGAAUACGUUCCCGGGCCUUGUACACACCGCCCGUCACACCAUGAGAGUUGGGGAUACCCAAAGCCCGUGAGCCAACUUUUUAAGAGGCAGCGGUCUAAGGUAGAAUCAAUGAUUGGGGUGAAGUCGUAACAAGGUAGC
rnacentral:rRNA from 1 species